rnacentral:misc_RNA from 1 species
CACGGGUCAUGAACCAAGAGAUCAGUCUGCUUAGCCAAUGGCAACUAUAAUGACAUUUCCUAACCAUCCAAGAAAUGCUAAGCUUCUAUAUAAAGAGUGUCACGGAUCUAGAGUUUUAGCUGUAAGUGUAAGAUGCACAGCAUGCUUUAACAAGGCUGCUCAUCCCUUUGGCCAGAAACUCUAUUCUCAAUGUUCUUAUCUCUAUUUUGCUGAACCAUAUCGGGACA